rnacentral:rRNA from 1 species
UACGGAGGGUGCAAGCGUUAUCCGGAUUCACUGGGUUUAAAGGGAGCGCAGGCGGACAUGUAAGUCAGUGGUGAAAUACCUGAGCUUAACUCGGGAACUGCCAUUGAUACUAUGUGUCUUGAAUAUUGUUGAGGUUUGCGGAAUGGGUCAUGUAGCGGUGAAAUGCUUAGAUAUGACAUAGAACACCGAUUGCGAAGGCAGCUUGCUACACGAUCAUUGACACUGAGGCACGAAAGCGUGGGGAUCAAACAGG